rnacentral:rRNA from 1 species
GAUGAACGCUAGCGGGAGGCCUAACACAUGCAAGCCGAGCGGUAUUUGUCUUUCGGGACAGAGAGAGCGGCGUACGGGUGCGGAACACGUGUGCAACCUGCCUUUAUCUGGGGGAUAGCCUUUCGAAAGGAAGAUUAAUACCCCAUAAUAUAAUGAAUGGCAUCAUUUAUUAUUGAAAACUCCGGUGGAUAGAGAUGGGCACGCGCAAGAUUAGAUAGUUGGUGAGGUAACGGCUCACCAAGUCGAUGAUCUUUAGGGGGCCUGAGAGGGUGAGCCCCCACGCUGGUACUGAGACACGGACCAGACUCCUACGGGAGGCAGCAGUGAGGAAUAUUGGACAAUGGGUUAGCGCCUGAUCCAGCCAUCCCGCGUGAAGGACGACGGCCCUAUGGGUUGUAAACUUCUUUUGUACAGGGAUAAACCUACUCUCGUGAGAGUAGCUGAAGGUACUGUACGAAUAAGCACCGGCUAACUCCGUGCCAGCAGCCGCAGUAA